UCAUUCUUUUGGCAUGUCCACCAAGUUCUACGUGUAUUUUGGCCCAUUUCCUCCUGGCUAAAGAGCACUUUCACCUUCUGGAGAGCUCUGUGACUGCUUUGACCAAUACAAGACAGCAGGAGUGAAGGUGGACUCAGCUUUUAACUGGUUCCUGCAGUCCUGACCAGUCAUCAAGCAGCUACUCAGACAGAGAGGCCGCGUGGAGGAGGCUUGAGGCAUCAGUCGUGUGGUGAAGAAGCCAUCUUGGACCCCCAGCCCCGGCUCUUACCUAGAUGCAGCUGCACCAGCUGAGCCCAAUCAACCCGCAGAUCCCUGAGAGAUAAUGAUAAAUAGCUGUGCCUUUGCUCUCAGCCUACCCCUUCGUGCUCCACACCCCAGUGAUAGUGAGAGGAGUACCAGAAACGAAGGGAUGGAAGAAUAGCAGCUGGAGGAGAAGGAUGGAGCAGAAAACAGCGAGUUCAAGAAGGAUUGGGAGAGAAUUUUUGGUGAGGAGCUGAGAGCAAAGCAAGGAGAAAGAUGGUUUGAAGACACUCCAGAAUAUGAGGGAGGUAGAGAGUGAGAGGAAAAGGAGGAAGGGGGUUUUAAGAAACGAUCACUUAGGGGCUGGCCCGGUGGCUGGGUGGUUAAAUUCUCGCGCUCUGCUGCUGCGGCCUGGGGUUUUGCCAGUUCAGAUCCUGGGCGCAGACAUGGCACUGCUCAUCAAGCUAUGCUGAGGCAGCAUCCCACAUGCCACACUAGAAGGACCCAUAACUAAGAAUAUACAACUAUGUACUGGGGGGCUUUGGGGAGAAAAAGGAAAAAAAUAAAAUCUUAAAAAAAAAAGAAAUGGUGACUUAGUUUAAACUUAAAUUUGUCUGGUGGUUUCUUUGCACUGACACGGCACAGAGGCUAUGCCCAUGGGAGCCCAGCGUUAGGUUAC
rnacentral:lncRNA from 1 species